AGAUUAAGUUAUUAAGGGCGCACGGUGGAUGCCUUGGCACUAGAAGCCGACGAAGGACGUUACUAACGACGAUAUGCUUUGGGUAGCUGUAAGUAAGCGUUGAUCCAGAGAUUUCCGA
rnacentral:rRNA from 1 species